UUCCUUCAGUUUGAACUCUUACCAUGUACCAGGAACUGUGUGACUGUGUGGGUGCUGUGCAUGCAGCACUCUGGCUAGUGUGUGGGAAAUCAAUGGUAGAGGAUUGUGGACAGAAGAAGGAAGACCAGUUAGGAGGUGCCUGCAAUCAUAGCCUAAGAAAGAAAUCAUUAUGAUACAGACUAGCAGGAUAGGCAAACUGAUGCGUUAGUUGGAUUUAGAUAUAUGUUAUAGAACUCACAGAAUAGGCUAACGGAGAGGAUAUGGAAUAGAAAUCAAGUGUGUUUUGUGGGUAUGAUACUUUU
rnacentral:lncRNA from 10 species